AGUGACCUACGGGAGGCAGCAGUGGGGGAUAUUGCACAAUGGGGGGAACCCUGAUGCAGCGACGCCGCGUGGGUGAAGAAGCGCCUCGGCGCGUAAAGCCCUGUCAGCAGGGAAGAUAAUGACGGUACCUGACUAAGAAGCCCCGGCUAACUACGUGCCAGCAGCCGCGGUAAUACGUAGGGGGCAAGCGUUAUCCGGAUUUACUGGGUGUAAAGGGAGCGUAGGUGGCAGGGCAAGUCAGAUGUGAAAACCCGGGGCUCAACUCCGGAAGUGCAUUUGAAACUGUCCAGCUAGAGUGC
rnacentral:rRNA from 1 species